rnacentral:hammerhead_ribozyme from 1 species
AUCCAGCUGACGAGUUCCGAAUAGGAUGGAAAGCGUGUCCUGGAU